rnacentral:rRNA from 1 species
CGUGUAGGCGGUUUACUAAGUCUGAUGUGAAAGCCCCGGGCUCAACCUGGGAAGUGCAUUGGAUACUGGUAAACUUGAGUACGGGAGAGGGAAGUGGAAUUUCGAGUGUAGGGGUGAAAUCCGUAGAUAUUCGAAGGAACACCAGUGGCGAAGGCGGCUUCCUGGACCGAUACUGACGCUGAGACGCGAAAGCGUGGGGAGCAAACAGGAUUAGAUACCCUGGUAGUCC